rnacentral:lncRNA from 1 species
GAGAUAGCAGUUAACACCAUAAGUUGCACCAAAGUGAAAUCUUGACAGCAAUGAGGGAAAGAGAAAGAAAUAAGCUUUGGAAGAUCUAACUUCCAUCUAAGACAAAAGAGCAGAAAGGAUGCUGAAGAUGUGAUGCACUGGCAAAGAACGCCUGAUAGAAGAUGGAGCUAUACUUACAGCUCCCAGAAGUAAUGCUAGAUUUUCUUCCUCUUCAGAUCUAGAGACAGCCUCUGCGACACAAAUAUGCCAAAGCCAUGCACAUUCUCCUCCAGAAGUAAAUAAAACAAGAGCUGAAAAGAGCCUGAAGAACAGGACAGCAGCACCCGCAGCUUCUCACAGAUACUACCCACCCCUCAGCUCUCCUAGCAGGGAAGCGGGGCUUCAACCAGCCCAGCCAUUUUUGCCAGGUUAUCUCAGAUCACGAAUUUGGCAUAAG